rnacentral:rRNA from 1 species
GUAACACGUGGAUCAUCUACCUUUUAGUGGGGAAUACCCUGGGAAACCGGGGCUAAUACCGCAUUAAGCUCGUGAGAGGAAAGCAGCAAUGCGCUGAAAGAGGAGUCCGCGGUGAUUAGCUUGUUGGGGGGUAACGGCCACCAAGGGAAGAUCCGGUAGCCGGCCUGAGAGGGCACACGGCACACUGGACUGAAACACGGGCCAGACUCCUACGGGAGGCACGUGGGGAAUCUUGCCCAAUGGAGGAAACUCUGAUGCAGGACGCCGCGUUGAGCGAUGAAGCCCUUCGGGGUGGUAAAGCUCUUUCGACGGGAACGAUAAUGACGGU